AAGAUAAGAAUGAAUGAAAGACUAUUGUAUAAAUACCAUCAAUGUCAAUUUAUUCUCAUAAGAAUAUUGUAUAAAUGGAGAAAGGGAUUUUGGGAACCCAUAUAUUUCCCUUGAAAAAGAUAACCAUAUUACAUUUGCCUAAACUUAAAAUUUUCUUUUUUUACAACCCACCACAUAAAAAAUUGUGAAAAAGAAACUUCAAACAGAUGCCAUCAAGUUUACAUUGAUCUAGC
rnacentral:lncRNA from 1 species